UACGGGGGGGCAAGCGUUGUUCGGAAUUACUGGGCGUAAAGGGCUCGUAGGCGGCCAACUAAGUCAGACGUGAAAUCCCUCGGCUUAACCGGGGAACUGCGUCUGAUACUGGAUGGCUUGAGUGUGGGAGAGGAAUGCGGAAUUCCAGGUGGUAGCGGUGAAAUGCGUAGAUAUCUGGAGGAACACCGGUGGCGAAGGCGGCAUUCUGGACCAUUACUGACGCUGAGGAGCGAAAGCCAGGGGAGCAAAGCGGG
rnacentral:rRNA from 1 species